GAUGAACGCUGGCGGCGUGCCUAAUACAUGCAAGUCGAGCGAACAGACGAGGAGCUUGCUCCUCUGACGUUAGCGGCGGACGGGUGAGUAACACGUGGAUAACCUACCUAUAAGACUGGGAUAACUUCGGGAAACCGGAGCUAAUACCGGAUAACAUGUUGAACCGCAUGGUUCAACAGUGAAAGACGGUCUUGCUGUCACUUAUAGAUGGAUCCGCGCCGCAUUAGCUAGUUGGUAAGGUAACGGCUUACCAAGGCAACGAUGCGUAGCCGACCUGAGAGGGUGAUCGGCCACACUGGAACUGAGACACGGUCCAGACUCCUACGGGAGGCAGCAGUAGGGAAUCUUCCGCAAUGGGCGAAAGCCUGACGGAGCAACGCCGCGUGAGUGAAGACGGUCUUCGGAUCGUAAAACUCUGUUAUUAGGGAAGAACAAAUGUGUAAGUAACUAUGCACGUCUUGACGGUACCUAAUCAGAAAGCCACGGCUAACUACGUG
rnacentral:rRNA from 1 species